rfam:Oceanobacillus iheyensis HTE831 DNA, complete genome.
CCCGUGCUACAACCGCACAGAAUAGGUGAGUGUAAAAAGCGUAAAACAGCAUUCGUUGUUUUUUGCUUAACAUUUUUAAAAUCCGUAUUGGAUUACCUAAAUGGCGAGUCUGAGUUGAAUG